UACGACCAUUUCACAUUGAAAUACUCUGUCCUGUACGAUAACCGAAGUUAAGCAACAUUGAGCCUGGCCAGUAUCUAGAUGGAUGACCACUUGGGAAUACCAGGUGCUGUAUG